UUCCCUGGAACAGGACAUAAAAGGAAAGCUGGAGAGAUGGAGUUAACACCUGGCCUGGCAUAUGCCCAGGACCAGCUACUGUCUUCUGUUAUUUGCCAUUUCUCCAAAUCCACAAACCUUUUAAACCAAGAAUAUCCAUUCCUUGUAACACAGUUUAUACAACAAGGUGCCAUGCUUUGGACACAAAGAUUUUCUGUGUGGUUUAGACCUUGGUUAACUGCAUAGAAACUGUGAAGCAUACAACUGAGAGGACAGCACAGGCUUUGGCUGCCCAUGCCUGUGUGGCAUUUGGGGCACCUAAGGAUAUCUGGGGACAUUCCAACCACACUGGCAGUUAUGACACAGGACACGUGGAAGACUUGUGACCUUAUAGAGCAGCAGCUGGAGGUCAGGAGGGGCAACACUUAGAUGCAUCUGUUUAGCCAACCGAAUGGAACCCUGUUCAUCCUCAUUUAUUAUAUGGUGCCUGUAUGAUUGCAUACACAUGGCUUAUCAUAACUUAGUCUAAGAUAUCAUCUUAAUGACUACAGAACACACUGUUAUACUCUCUCCAGAUUUAAAAGUAUAUCGACAUAUAUGUUUGUAUAGAAGUAGUAUAUGUGCAGAGUCCACAUUUAUGGCACACUGUGGGAGCUCGAUGACUGCAGUUGAUAGUAACACAUGAAUCAGUUAGAAGCUAGUUUCAAUGUCAUACACAAUGUUAUCACAUACCAAUCAAACAUUCUGGGCUUUGUAGAGAAGUGCUUGAGUAGUCCAAGGUGUGAUGCAUUGAAACAGUCUGCCAGGAACAAAAUUACCACUGAGAUAGACUCUGUCCAGUUCUAAAACAGAACUUAAAAUGUUAUAGAUGGCCACCCACUAGAUGGUUGUAUGCAGCUGCAGGAGGCAGGGCUCCAUCUCUUCAGGCCUUUCCUGUACACUUCCUGCUUCUGUUUGGAGUUGUUUUCAGUGACUCCUUCUUGCUAAUUUAGAGGGCUGCUGACUGAUGCUAACAGUAUCACUAUAAUAGUGGCACUGAGUGACAGUUUAUGGGCAUGGUGGUGAUGGGCUGGCGGUUGGACUGGGUGACCUUAGAGGUCUUUUCCAACCUUAGUGAUUCUAUGAUAUUGUCAAUAAAGAAUAGUAGUGUGGGAUGGUUAUGCUCAAACAGUAGCAUUCAGUUUCAGCUAAUUAAAUCAAUUACUUAAUAAAAGACAAAAAUGUAAAACUGUGUCUCAGACCAAACAUUGCUGUGGGAUGAUCAAAUAGCUUGAGGCUAUUUUCUAAUGCUGUAUUCACGUUUCAGUUUUAUACAUCUUUAAAACCUGUUGCUAGGCUGCAGUAACCUUUGUUAUUUCCGUAUCUCUCAGCCAAUCCAUUUCACUAGCUUCUCUUACUACUUUCCUAGGAAAUUAUUUUAGCAUUUGCAUGAAGGAGUAGCUUUAAAGGCAUUCCAUUUUCAGACAACAGGAAAUUGAAGGAACAGCUCGUCACAUUCUAGCAGUUUGGUGUGACAAAAUCAAUGUUUCCUCUCUCUAGUAGUUCUGUUUGCCUCCUAAUACGAGCUGCUUUGGACAGCUCAUCCUGGAUCUGCAAAGCUGGAAAACAAAGUGAGCCAUGCUUUGAUCUCCACCCCCUCAACCACCCAAAAGCAUGGAUUUCUUUAUAAAAUAUUUAUUUCUGUGGACCACUGCUAUCUAAGUUUUAAAAUGAACAUCAGCCUGGUCUUCCAAAAGACGCUCUACAUUAUCUACAAGAAUGGCCUUGGUGUGGAAAUCCCUGAGGAAAAAGGUAUCUGUAUGAAAUGGAAGCUUGACUGCGUGCAUGGCCCUUUCUCGUUUUAAAAUACAUGAAUCUAGACUUCUUGUUUUGUAAGUAGAUUCCCCAGUAAGAGAAGCAUUUGUGUCACAGGAGAAUCUCCUGUGUAACUUAGGUAUGUCAAACUGCUUCCCUCUUUUUCUGCUCAGAGAACGAAGACUCUCAUUGUAGCACUGUCUGUUUUCUAGCAGCAAAGUACAGAGCAUCCCUUCUGGAAAUCAGUGGAGUUCCACCGAUAGACUGAGAUGUUUCGUCAUCUGUAUGCACUCAUGGCAUCUUACUGCAGGGAGGAAAGAGUGAGAAUGAUAGCAUAUUUCAGUGAUGCUCAUGCUAUUCUAUCUCCUUUUUAUAAAAAUUAUGCAUCUCUUGAGAAAGCCAAAUAUCUGAAAGGAUGGAAAUGAACAUCUAAGAGGUUCAGCUUUUGUGCUGUUCAACAGCUGUUCACCUGAUUUAUAUGAUACACCCUGGCUUAGCAGGCUAAAUUUGUUCGUAUGCAAAUAUCACCACUACCUUGAUACAUGUUAACUAUAUACUAAGAACUUCAGAAGCAAUGUAUUCCAUCAAGAAAAAUCAAAGAGAGAAAAAAAAAAGCCAUCCUGUUGUGGAUGCCCCAUCCCCGGAGGCAUUCAAGGCCAGGCUGGAUGUGGCUCUGGGCAGCCUGGUCUGGUGGUUGGCGACCCUGCACAUAGCAGGGGGUUGAAAUUAGAUGAUCAUUGUGGUCCUUUUCAACCCGGGCCAUUCUAUGGUUCUAUGAUUCUACGAAAAAGGCAGCGCUGAAACAACACAAACAUUGUAGCAUCCCAACAGUGUGCUGAGAGAAAUGGGUCUGGAGCCAGAUGGGCUCCAUACUGAGCCACCACUUCUGACAAAGGUGUCAAGGAGUUGAGCUGCAGUGCCACAUCAGGGAGCUGUCUGAAUCUGAACUGCUCCAAAUAGUAAGAAAGAGCUCAGAGCAUCAAGGCUCAAUGCCUAUUUCUGCCUUCAAGGACCAAUAAACCCUUAGGUUUUGGUUGAUUUCAUGGCAAAAGAAGUAAGAACUGCAGUAAAAUUGAUCAGAUAUUCAUAUUCUGCAUCUAAAACAUCUACGCUGAAAUAAAUACCAUUUACAUUGAAAUAAAUUAAUAAUUAAAUUAAAUAAUCACAGAUUGUGGUUUGUUACAUUACAGACUUUACUGAUGACUCCCAGCUCCAGAAGGUCUCUAAAUACAUACUUAAGCCCAUCCUUACUCUAUUUAUUUUUAAUAUACAUGGUACCUUAUGCAUGUUCCUGAAUAGGAGCAUUUUUCCAACAGAGGUGAAAGGAAAAAAAAAAAAAAGGAAGGAAAAGGUAAAUAACGUAACUUACAUGAUCAGACAGUGCAAGUACUAAGUCCAAGCGGAUGGGGACUUCUGGUUUGGAAAUGUGCAAGUAAUUAUAGCCUCUGGGAAGAACACCUCCUGCCAUAAAUGAAAAGAUGAGGUUUACUCAGUUGUAAACAAAACCAAAGUAUUUCUCACCCUCCAUCUCCUAUCUGUAUAUUUUAACUAAGUGGCAAAAGAGGAGAAAUUAUCUGGUUUCGUGGCUUCACGUUCUGUAGUACUGUCACACAUAUUGGUGCAGCAGCCACACCUUGAGAAGUUCUGAUCAUGACUGCAAUAUAAAUGAAAGCAUAGCUUUGUGUAUUAUUAGAAAAAAAACCUUCAGCAUAAGUUUUUUGUUCUUUUUUUUCCCUCCUGAACUCCUAGAUGAGACUAUGGAGCUAAAGACAGAUGAAGAAUGGACCCAACAAAUUAAGACCCUAAGAACUGCCAAUCAACAGUUGCUAUUGGCUCAAAUCCCAAAAGGUCCAGCGCGGCUGUAGGGCCGAUUCCUGCACAGCCUGCUUCCCGUGGAGGCUGCUCUGGGCCUCCCAUCCUCCUCAGAGCUCGUCCUUCCAGGUGGCUGGGAGCCUCGCAAGGCAGCUGAGCUGGAUUUGCAGAACAGAGAGACCCUGGUGUCAGAAGGGACUGCACACUCCUCAUCUUUGAGGCUAUGAAGGAUAAGCAAGGGGCACAAGAGAGCAAGAGAAAAUGGGAGUCUUGAAGAAAUGGCACAGGCCACGUGGGAAAGGUGGUGGAGAAGAGGUAUGGGUUUGUGAAUGGAUAUUAAAGUUACAAGAACCAGAUUCACAUCUCCAUGGAAGAAUAAAAAUAGAGGGAUUUUAGGGAAGGAAGGGACAAAAUGAAGUGCUCCAUAUGAGGGCAAAGAAAAGGAAUGUCACUGCAGACAUGGUGACCAAAGCCAGGUGACAGCCAGUGGAUGAAAGUCUUCUGCAAGAUCUUUACCUCCUUCAGGAAGGGCUUAGCUAUCUCCACGUUGAAAAGAAAAGGACUGGGAAAAAAAGCAAACCUACAGUGUGUGGCUAUCCAGCUCAGAUGAGCUGGCUGGGAGCAGCACGUGGUGCUUCCUUCUCAGAUCUACAGCCCUUGCUGCACAGAGGAGCAGCCAGUGCAGCAAGGAUGCCCUGCAAGGGCCAUAGGGCUUCCCAUGGACACACAUUUUGAAAUGACUCUACCAGAAGCUCGCUCACACAGAUGAGCCCAGUGAUGAAAACCAGCACUAGCUUCCCCAUUAGGAAAGGUCCCAUAUCUCACAGGAGCACCAUAUGUGUGAGUGUGUGUGUGACUUACCUAGAUAUGCUAUCAAUACUGUAGAUGAACAAAAAUGCAAUCAGCAAUGCAGAGGGAGAAAAAUCUGUUUAAAACGUACUUUAAUAGAUACGUAGUAGGCCUCUGUCCUAACAUUCUUGGCUGCUAGUAUGACUUGAUGAAAUCUUAAACCUAUGCACAUAACUAUAGACAGGAGUUACUGUACGCAUUUAAAUAAUAAAAGGAUUGAUGUAGAAUAAAAGGAAUGAUGUAGAAAAUGAAUUAAGAGCAUUUGUCACUCAACAGCAAGCAACUAUUGGUGAGUCGGCUGACUAAAACGCAUUUAAAUCCAAAUCAGUCGGGGAAUUAACAGUAGUAUUAUUUGGAGUUUUGCACAAAACAAUCCUUCAGACUAACAACUGAACGUUAAUUCUUCUGGAGACAGUGAGAAAAUAGAUAAACCGGCAAGGGACUAUCAGGAUUUGACGGCCUUUGUCUUAAAAAGCAGACCGAAGGAAAUGCAAUGAAAGCAUAUACUUACUGAGCACUGCAAUUGGAACGGUUUUGUAUUAGUAGAGAAAGCAGCGCAUGUGAUGAGGUCUGGGUCGUCGCCUUUGCUCCACUCUGCCAGGAUACUGUCACAAUAAACAGCCACGCCAGCCUCUGACAGUGCCUCCUGAACAGCACUUUCGAUUUCGGUGUUGUUAAGGCAAGUAACGUUUGAGCUGAGUGGAGGCUGCACGAGAUGGAUGCGAGAACCAUCGAUUCCCAGAGAUAAGAAGGUUUCUAUCGUGGUGUAAAUGUCAAUUGUAUUCCCAUAGACGAUGACGUUCCCUAAGGGGAAAAAAAAGGGGGGGAAAUUUCUAAGAUGUACAAUGAAAACCUUAUUAGUGUAACUCAGAUGAUAAUAACAUGAAAUUGCUCUCUUUGACCCUCUUAUUUCUCUGAUGCUAUGAAGCAAACAAUGUUACCUAGCAACAGUAGCUAAGAUAAUUUAGUGAAGAAUCUGUACAAAACAUCCCACAAAGUAGACAAGUACUUAACACAGAAGUAUGACAUUCAUUCUGACCCUGUAAUUUGAAAUUAUACUGAUUGAAAAUCCUCUGGGGCCAAAAAAUAAAAGAAAAAGAAAAAAAAAAGAAAAAAGCCACCACAUUUUAUUUUGUCCUCCUCUUCCUCCUCAAUUUUGCUUAUAUUCAGAGCACUCACUGGGCAGGCAGAGGAGCAGGAGCAAAUUAAAUACACUGUACAGAAAAAAAAGGUAGAGGAACUGGGAAAGAGCAAGUUGGAGGAGACAAGAUGCUGUGCAGCGCAGGAGAUUGCUGGCACUGUUGCUUCCUUUUGCAAGAGCUCAGUCUGCAGACAAGGGACCUGGCAUACACUGGAGCACCCGUGUGCUUUAUCUAAGGAUGCUUAAUAUAAAACACGUAACUAUUCCUCUGAGCAGGGCCUGAAAACUGCUCCUUUCCUCCCUGCUCCCUCUGUCCCUUGCUCUGAAGAGAAAGCAUCUUUCUGCCCUCUGAUUCACUCUGCCUUCCAGUAAUCCAUGCGAAAUACCACAGCUCUUGCAGGAUGGACUGAGAAUUCCUUCCCCGGUGGGAAUGAGAAGUGCUUACCAAAAGCCCAGCCUAGCAAAGGGUUACUCUGACUAAAGUAUGUGAGCCUGGCCAGCACAGAGAACAUCACCAUUUGGCAGAGCCGCUCUCUUCGGAGAGAAGUUUGGUGAUUGCAUUACAUGUUGGCAUUUCUGCAUAGACGAGAUCAAGACUCAAGCCCAGCAUUUCUCAAGGAAAAUUAAAAUUCUGUUUUAUAUGGUAAUAUUAAAUACAAUUACAUUACAUUAAGGAAAGCAAUGUUCCUUUGCUGACCUCUUGUAAAUCAACAAUUUGCAGUUUCUGCUUAUGGCAAUAUGAGGGGCUUUUUAGAUUACAGCACUGGUAGUCUAGGAACUACCGAUAUUCAUUAUGGACUGAAAUUAUGUUCGCUGGACAGAUAGCGAUUCCUCAGGAUGCUUUUAUUAUUUAACUACAUGAAAAUGUAUCUAUCUGUGAGUAAACAUAAUCAUCUUCCACGGAAAAAAGCAGCCAUAAAUAAAGAUCGUUAGUGUGGUUUUAGCAUUUAUCUCUCGAAUGUCAGAGUUGUGCUGCAGAGCAGGCUCAUUCAUUUUCCACAAGUGCAAGCCCAACAUUUCGGUGAUCCCAGGGUGACCCAAAUCUUUUUAGUUUGCAGAAGCUAAAGAAGAAAACGUUACGUUAGCUAAAGCAUCGGCAGCUCUGGCUGUUGAUUCGAACGCUGGAAUUUUAAUGUGAUAGUAUUCCUACAAACAUGCUUUUAAUAAGGCAGUAAACUAUGUUUAGGUAAAGAGGAAAAAUAAUUGCUCCAUUUUGGGCCAUUAAAGCAGUUUUGUUUCUUUCUUUACUCCCAUCCUACUUUUUAUUUUCAUGGAAAGUGCAGCGCUAAUAGGAGAUGAAUUUCAAUUAGUUACAAUUACAGUUCUAAUAGGUUACACGCAUGAGGCAGCUGGGUUUCGUCAGAGAAGCCACAGCCCCAGGACUAGGGCUGGUGCUCACCCUGCUGCAGCCCCAGGCAGCAGGAGCCACCAGGCACCUCUCUGCUCCCAUGUGGAGGAGCCCACGGUGGAAGGAAGGUGGAAGUGCCGUGGAGACUCCAAACUGCUUUCGGUAGAAGUAACAGAUGGGUGAGAGGAGGACGCAGCAAGAGAAGGGUAUAUGGAAAGAAGCCGCAGCUAUCCAGCAGCCCUCCAGAUGCUGGGUGGGUUUAGCGCAUUGCUAAAGGCAGGAGAGUGCCUGGUUAAGAUAUCCACCUUCACAUCACACCAAAAGCCAGCAGCAGUGCUGAAAUUAUUCAUACUAAUUUAGUAUUAGUAAAGGUGCCUUGGUCCCAAAAGAGAUGAAGUGCCAGACGUCCCUUUGGCCUGAACAGCGAUCGUCCCACUUUCCUUGCAUCCCAGAUGUUGGUUCCUUCUAUUUCUGGCAACACACGGUUUUAUAUGAAGGAUGAGUGGUAACAAAUAGGGAAAACUGACCACCUCAUCUGUUUCUACAAACGCAGCUGUGCCUGUCAGCUGGACACCACGGAAAGCCACACAGACUGCUCUGUUCACAUGCUUGGGGCCGGGAAGCUGUCUGAAGAAAACGUGAGCUGAGACAUCACGAUGUUUACUGUCUCCUGUCCUGAUCACAGCAAGACUGGGAAGGUGAUAAAGAAACCUCUAGUAUCUUAAGAACUUCUUUACAAGUCUGCCAAGCAGGACAUGAACGUAACAGACCACAGCAAUCAGCUAUCCAUUUCCAUUAGCCUACUCUCUGCUGAGGAAGCCAGUUCAGCUCCGUUUUCAGGAAACUCCUGGUUUUGUUUUCAAGAACUUUCCUGCUCUGAACUCUUCCCUGACUCCAGGCUGGCACCAAGAAGACAUGGUGGGUGAAUUCAUUCACUGUUUGAUCUCCUUUCUGCUGUAGAAAGGAUUUAACUUGGAAUUCUGGAUGUCUGUAGGUAUUUCCUACAGCAUGCACAUUCGGUGAGUAUAUGACCAGUGUGCACAGAUACAAUGCACAAAAAUGUCACCUUAAGGGUUAAAAAGAUAAUACAGAGAGACUGCAGUUCUAUGUGAAAAGCUGUAAACUGACGUCAUGGAACACAAAGAUGACAGAAAAGGAAAAAAAAAAAGCCCAUCUCCUAAUUUAGACCUGUUUUCUUUGUGUUAUGCCUCAAAUCUAAAUGUUCAUCUAUAAGAGAAAAACACACUCACUAAUUAAAUUAUUAUUUAAUUGUCUAAUUAAUGACUCCAGCCAGCUUUGCAUUUGGGACUCAUUUUGUUUUAUAUAAUAAUUACAGAUGAUUAAUCUAUCUCAAGCUUUUUUUUUUUUUCCUAGAUAAAUAUGCUGAGUAUCAAAAAUGACAACAAAUUGUAAAUUAAUCUGGAAAACAAAGCACAGCAGAUGAAAGACUUUGUUCUAAUUAAUUGAGCAUCAAUUAUACCAUGGAGUCAAGGAAACAAUGAGCCUGAAGAAUAUUUCUGCAAGUGUGUGUGUGUUUACCAAAGCCCUUACCUUCUGAGUUGAUAAAAUUUUCCUUCAGCCAUUCCAUUGCCUUUAAGCAGUCCUGAUCAUCAUUGAGAGUAAAAUGAUUGGAAGGGAUUUUCCCUGUGUAUCUCUGUGGCCAUUUACUGAUAUCAUCUCUAUUAGUUGUGAGUUCGCUGGUAUGUGAUCCAGUGGGGGACAGGACCUGGAACAAAUGGGUGAAUGAACAGAUAUGUAUGACAUAUAUCUUCAACUACUAUUAAGAUUUUUUUUUUGUUUUUUUAAUCACCUCUGUGUAAUAAAAAAGAAACUACAUGAUAAAAAUAAUUCCUUUAUUUUAUUAUUAUUAUUUUUUUUUUUGGUAGAGCUUGAAGGUAAGAAUAGAUGCUAUUUUCUUCUUGAAGGCAGAUAGAAGCUAAGUCUUCCCUCGCUUCCCUUAUCUCUUCCUCUACUGUAGUUAUUUCCUGCAACUUACGUUACAAUUCAGGGUUGCAUCUGAACAUCUUUUUUUCUAGGAGCACUUAAACAAUCACAAUUACACUUACAGUACAAAAACUGGAAGCAGCUAUCUAGUACAGGGAGGUCUGAUUGGACAGGAAGACCGAGCACUUGAUUCCACUCUGCAUAGCUUCACAUUACACACACUACUCAGAGACCUGUGCUGCUGCUGUAAGCUAGGGGAAUGGCAACAUUGCUUCAGUUGCCAUCAAGGCAAAAACAAAGAACCUCAGCUGGAAAAUUGGUCCUUUUCUCCUCUGUCCUCCCACAUACUGUGAGACUCCACUGAGUAUCAUAGGGCAACCUGACCUCACCUGAAACUUUACCACGUGCUACAGUAAUACAUAGCACCAUGUACAUGCCUAGGCAUGCUCAUCAUGUGAAUCAAGUAAUUAAUUUGAAAAUAAAUUUCUUCCAUUGCCAAAAUUAGGUCAAAUGGUGUUGCACCAGCUGGAGUUAAGUCUCAGUGGCUGGGGCCACAUGUCAAUUGGAUCAACUCUUCAGCAGGUUUGCUGGUCACAGUGGCAAAAAUACUGGCAGCUUUGCUUAACAUCUGAUCCUCAGGUGAUCCAUUGCUGGUAGAAAAUGUUGUAAAACCCCCCUCUCCUCUGCUCCAGGCUCUAGAGCUGCACGAAGCAGCACAACCUGCUGUUUGCAGGCUGCACACAUAUCAGUUAUACAAUUGUUAAGGAGUAUUCUACUCCUUUGCUAAUUGCAGAAACCCCAUUUGCUGUUAAAAAAAAAAAGAAGAAGACCAAGAUAUUAUUUUUUCACUCUGUACCAUCUCACCUGAUAGCUCAGUCCUGUGCAGAGAACAAGGUAGUCAUACGGUACUCUCCUCUCCUUGGAAACAACUACAUAUUUGGCAGAGCGAUUUAUGCCAGUCAUUUUACCAACCACAACGUUAACCCAGGAACAAAGUGACAUCUGUGCAUAAUCUUCAUCAUUAAAACAGUGGCUGUGAAGAAAGAAUAUCUGUAAGUGACAUUUCAGCAGCUGACAGCAGGCAUUAAUUAGACAUCUGGUGAGUUAGCCAAAGUCCCCUAGUGGUUCAAGUCUGUUCUCUUGCUGUGAGUUUACUGCAGCCUAUAGUAAAAGAUUAGUCAUUAUGAAAUACUCAGUUACAAAUUGACAACUUUUUGCUAAAACCAAAUAAUCCCUCCCAGUGCUGGGCCAUAUAACCACAUAAUUUAAAAAUGAAGCCAGAAAGAAAAAGCUUUCCUCGGCUUGCUUUUUAUUUGCAGGUUGAUGCAUGGAGGAGACUUCUGCACCUGCAAAGAAAAUGUCUUAACAAUCUAAUUUUUUUUUGUCUGAUACAAGAUUCCUUUUUACUAUUUCAUGCGACUGAAUUCCUCUGCAAAAUUAAGUGAAUAUUAACAGAAGCAGAGGAGAAAUUAUCAUAUUGGCUAUCCAAAGUAAACAAAAUUAGUGGGCAUAGGAGAGAAAGAGAGAGAGAAGUAGUGCAGGCGUGAAAAAUAGGAAUCUUCACUAAGAGAGCUCCAGAAAGAGAAACACCACCACCGAUGUAUUUUGCUACUGGUACAAGGAUAUAGAUUCUAACACACUAGAACUGACCGCUACACAUUAAUUGCUGUUAAUGAGCUCCCAAAACUGUCCUAGAGGAUGACAACAAUAACAAGUAGGGGGAAAAAAAAAAGUCGUUGUUGUGGCCUGAAGAAUUUUAGAACUGAAUGUUCGGGCUUUCUGAGGUGCUCUGCAUCCUCUGUACUCAUAAAUACCAGAGGGAAAUAAAGAACGGAAGACACCCACUGUCAAUUCUAAACUGUAAUCAUGCAGAAAUCUAUAAAUAAAAUGGACAUCAAGGAGAGAUUAGGGUUUUCAAAAGCACCUUUAUAAUUGAGGUGCACAGCUCCCGGGAGACUGACACUCCAAAAUCACAGGGAUGCUUUCAAAAACCAUACCCUGCAGAGUUCCAUUUUCACUCUUAAUCUGCUUUCAGAUUUUAACAGCUAAUUCUGGCGAGGCAGCCAUGAACAGCGACCUUCCAUCAGGGUGAAUAUUUUGUUAUUACAAGUCUCUUCUUACAGUAUACUUAGGACAAAGUGCCCAUGCUUUUGUGUGAGUAUAUAAUCCCUUCAUUUCCUGGACCUGUACUUAAAAACACCCCUUUCUACAACAGAAAAAUUAAUUCCCCAACUAUUUAUCAAAAAAUUCCUUGAUAGGGCAAAAUGCAGAAUAUGGUAAGACGGUUUUAAACAGGUCAACGUCACACUCUUUUCAGGUCUUUGUAGACAUUUCUGGUUUAAGGUUCAGCAAGUAGGCAAUUAGUUGUUUUGCCAUUUAAAGAGCUGGCUGUUCAGGGCAUUACUGAAGUUGCCACUUUAUUAAUACUUUGAGACACCUCCCUUGUAAUAGUAAUAUUGAACUCAUUUACAGGCCGUAUGGACACAGUGGAUUAUUCUGAGACUAUGCAUGUGUUUCUAGACAAAAUUUAGGACCAGUUCACAGAAAAUUACAAAGUGUCAUGUUGAAGUUAUUGAAGUUUUUAUAUAUUAAAUCAAACCUGUUAAUUAAAAAUCUUCUAUGCUUGGAUCCUGGUAGGUCUUUUCCUGGAAGGCCGUGAGUUGAAAUCAAGGUCAGGUUGUUGAAUUUCAGGUGUGGAC